UACAGAGGUGGCAAGCGUUGUUCGGAAUUACUGGGCGUAAAGGGCGCGUAGGCGGUCUUGCAAGUCUGUGUGAAAUCCCUCGGCUCAACUGAGGAACUGCACAGGAAACUGCUUGGCUUGAGUUCGGGAGAGGGAAGCGGGAAUUCCGGGUGUAGCGGUGAAAUGCGUAGAUAUCCGGAGGAACACCGGCGGCGAAGGGCGGCUUCCUGGACCCGACACUGACGCUGAGGCA
rnacentral:rRNA from 1 species